CCUACGGGAGGCUGCAGUGAGGAAUAUUGGUCAAUGGGCUUACGCCUGAACCAGCCAAGUCGCGUGAGGGAAGACUGCCCAACGUGUUGUAAACCUCUUUUGUCAGGGAGCAACGCCGGCGACGUGUCCCCGGACGGGGAGUACCGGAAGAAAAGGCAUCGCCUAACUCCGUGCCACCAGCCGCGGUAAUACGGGGGAGGCGAGCGUUAUCCGGAUUUAUUGGGUUUAAAGGGUGCGUAGGCGGAAUGUCAAGUCAGCGGUAAAGUCGCGGGGCUCAACCUCGCGCAGCCGUUGAAACUGGCGUGCUUGAGUUGGAGAGAAGUACGCGGAAUGCGCGGUGUAGCGGUGAAAUGCAUAGAUAUCACGCAGAACCCCGAUUGCGAAGGCAGCAUACCGGCGCCACACUGACGCUGAGGCACGAAAGCGUGGGUAUCGAACAGGAUUAGAUACCCGUGUAGUC
rnacentral:rRNA from 1 species